AGAUCAGUUUGGGGGCAAUUUUGAAGUAACCCCUUGUAACGUUCUCAUGCUUCGUAAAGUGAUUCCCCCGAUUGUUGCUCAAAGUUGGCUAUCGCCUUCUUGAGUUU